rnacentral:rRNA from 1 species
CUCCCAAACCCCUGUGAACAUACCAAUUGUUGCCUCGGCGGAUCAGCCCGCUCCCGGUAAAACGGGACGGCCCGCCAGAGGACCCCUAAACUCUGUUUCUAUAUGUAACUUCUGAGUAAAACCAUAAAUAAAUCAAAACUUUCAACAACGGAUCUCUUGGUUCUGGCAUCGAUGAAGAACGCAGCAAAAUGCGAUAAGUAAUGUGAAUUGCAGAAUUCAGUGAAUCAUCGAAUCUUUGAACGCACAUUGCGCCCGCCAGUAUUCUGGCGGGCAUGCCUGUUCGAGCGUCAUUUCAACCCUCAAGCCCUCGGGUUUGGUGUUGGGGAUCGGCGAGCCCUUGCGGCAAGCCGGCCCCGAAAUCUAGUGGCGGUCUCGCUGCAGCUUCCAUUGCGUAGUAGUAAAACCCUCGCAACUGGUACGCGGCGCGGCCAAGCCGUAAACCCCC